AGUGAACGCUGGCGGUAGGCCUAACACAUGCAAGUCGAACGGCAGCACAGGAGAGCUUGCUCUCUGGGUGGCGAGUGGCGGACGGGUGAGGAAUACAUCGGAAUCUGCCCAGUCGUGGGGGAUAACGUAGGGAAACUUACGCUAAUACCGCAUACGACCUUCGGGUGAAAGAGGGGGAUCGCAAGACCUCUCGCGAUUGGAUGAGCCGAUGUCGGAUUAGCUAGUUGGCGGGGUAAUGGCCCACCAAGGCGACGAUCCGUAGCUGGUCUGAGAGGAUGAUCAGCCACACUGGAACUGAGACACGGUCCAGACUCCUACGGGAGGCAGCAGUGGGGAAUAUUGGACAAUGGGCGCAAGCCUGAUCCAGCCAUACCGCGUGGGUGAAGAAGGCCUUCGGGUUGUAAGGCCCUUUUGUUGGGAAAGAAAUCUUUCAGGCUAAUACCCUGGGAGGAUGACGGUACCCAAAGAAUAAGCACCGGCUAACUUCGUG
rnacentral:rRNA from 1 species